CACGUCACAAUCACCAACUCGCGUGAGUCCUCCCACCGCCCACGCGUGACAUCUGAAAGAAGAAAAAAUGAAAUAAAUAAAUGAGCAAGGUGCAGUUCCGCCAGGAGCCGUGAGUGUGUGUGCGCGUGAAUGUGUGUGUGUCGUCUGUCUGAAACAUGAACCGCUUGCAUUAGACAUCAGGAGGGCGAUUGAAAACGGGGCAAAAAUCACCACCAACAUCAUCUUCAUCAUCCUUCUCUUCCACGGGGGAAACCUGUUCGCACGCGCCGGGGAGCAGGAAGAUCAAAUUAGGGUGGUGAAAUUAUUUGUGCAAGCUGCCUAUGAAGGGGAGGAAGGUGUAACACACACACUACAGAGUGUGUGUUGUUGUUGCCAUUAGUGUUAAUGAUCUUAUUUACUACUCUCUUAAUUAUCAGCUCUAAAAACAUCCGUGGAAAACUGGAGCAUACAUGUCGUGAUCUGAGAAAAGCAUCGGGUUAUUCUUAUGGAUUAACAUAUGCUCUAAACUCAACCCAGGUCAAACACUUUGCUGUAAUUGCUGUUAAACUUGAGAAAGAGCAGAGCUCUCAGACACAGAGUCUCUGGUUCUACAGGCUGAGAUUUCUGGUUUAUACGCAGCUUCUGUUUGCCACUGACGACCAAAGACCGCUCCUCUCUCCUCCCCUCUCCGAUUUUUCUCCUCCUCUCCCUCCCCUAUGCUCAGUUCGGUGUGUGUCUCCUCAUUCAAAGGGCGCAAGGGUGGGAACAAGUCGUCCAACAAAGCAUGUUACAGCGCCGACAUGACUUGCCCGUCGGAAAGCGAGAAAAUCGUCAUCAACUGCGGCGGCGUGAGGCACGAGACGUACCGGAGCACGCUGAAGACGCUGCCCGGGACGCGUCUGUCUUGGCUCACUGAGCCGGACGCCUUCAGCAACUUCGACUACGACGCGAAGUCCGACGAGUUCUUCUUCGACCGGCACCCGUCCGUCUUCUCGUUCAUCCUCAACUACUACCGGACGGGCAAGUUGCACUGCCCCAACGACGUGUGCGGCCCGCUGUUCGAGGAAGAGCUCGCCUUCUGGGGCAUCGACGAGACCGACGUGGAGGCGUGCUGCUGGAUGAACUACCGGCAGCACCGGGACGCGGAGGAGGCGCUGGACAGCUUCGAGACGCCUGAGCCGGACGUGCCGGACGACGACCCGGCGCUCGUGGGGGACGGAGACCUGAAGCGGCUCUGCCUGCAGGAGGACGGCAGGAAAGUGGGCUGGUGGCGCGUGUGGCGACCCCGGAUUUGGGCGCUCUUCGAGGAUCCCUAUUCGUCCAAAUACGCGCGGUAUGUGGCGUUCGGAUCCCUGCUAUUCAUCCUCAUCUCCAUUUCCACCUUUUGCAUGGAGACGCACGAAGCGUUCAACACCAUCUACAACAGAACCGAGAAUGUUACGGAAGGGAACGUGACGAAAGAGGAGAUCGUGUACGAGGUGGUCACGGACAGCUGGCUGACGUACGUGGAGGGAGUAUGCGUGAUUUGGUUCACCAUCGAGGUGUUCACUCGCGUCGUCUUCUGUCCCGACAAGGUUGAGUUCUUCAAGAGCGCGCUGAACAUCAUCGACUUCGUGGCCAUCUUGCCCUUCUACCUGGAGGUCGGUCUGAGUGGACUCUCCUCCAAAGCGGCGAAGGAUGUUUUGGGCUUCCUGCGCGUGGUGCGCUUCGUCCGAAUCCUGCGUAUCUUCAAGCUGACGCGUCACUUCGUGGGCUUGCGUGUUCUCGGGCACACGCUCCGCGCCAGCACCAACGAGUUCCUCCUGCUCAUCAUCUUCCUCGCUCUCGGCGUUCUCAUCUUUGCCACAAUGAUCUACUACGCCGAAAGGAUAGGAGCCAGUCCAGACGACCCUACGGCGAGCGCGCACACCAACUUCAAGAACAUCCCCAUUGGUUUCUGGUGGGCCGUGGUGACCAUGACCACCUUAGGCUAUGGAGAUAUGUAUCCGGAGACGUGGUCGGGCAUGCUGGUGGGGGCGCUGUGUGCCCUUGCGGGCGUGCUGACUAUUGCUAUGCCUGUUCCUGUGAUUGUUAACAACUUCGGCAUGUAUUACUCUCUGGCCAUGGCCAAGCAGAAGCUGCCCAAAAAGAAGAACAAACACAUCCCGCGAGCCCCACAACCCGGCUCACCCAAUUACUGCAAGCCGGAUGCCCUCGCAAUGGCUACGGCCUCGCCCCAGAGGAUCCUGGGUAACGUGCUGGGCGGCGUGCUGGGGUCGAGCGGGCUGGCGGGCGACUGUCCUCUAGCUCAGGAGGAGAUCAUAGAGAUUAACAGAGACUCGAAGCAGAACGGUGACGCAGCCAGUGCCGCUCUAGCAAAUGAGGACUGUCCAACAAUCGAUCAGGUUCUUAGUCCGGACGAGCGCAGCCCGAUGGCCCGAACACAAGAGCGCUACCAGCAGGACAGAGCCUGCUUCCUCCUCAACACGCGAGAGUUUCGACCCACUGAUGGGAAUGUGCGGAAAGACAGACACUGGGAUAUUUGGACAGACUCACAGACAGACUGACGUAGAGCAGGCCGUCAGUGCAGCGCCAGAGUUUCUAAUGCGUGACUAUGGUGUUAAGUUUCUAGCAUUUGGCAAUUCUUUUAAGGAGACACAGUUAGUCGCUGAAUCCUGAAAACUUUGCCGAUGGGGCCCCGCCAUCCAUACGGGACGUGUGAGGAAUGUCGGAGUGGCAAGAGGGUGUGACUGGAAACAAAAAAAACAAACAAAAAAAACAACAAAGGAAACUGGAAAUUUCCGAUGCCGGAUCUUCACACGGUAACCAAAGCAACCUCACCGAAAUUCCGGAUCACUCCUCUUUCUACAGACUGACUGACUUUACAGCAACAAAACCGAACAUUGCACUGACACCUGAAAGAGAAAAAAGACUCUUGAAGGAACGAACGGAAAAACAUUCCAAUGUUUUAAGAUCAAAACACCAGGCGUUUUGACUGCCGCACUCACCUGGGCCCUGAGUUUCUGUAUAUUAGUCUAUAUGUAAGAAUGAAGGACCAAGUUAGAAUAAUUAUGUAGCAUUUCUGCUAAGACCCUGUAGCAUUUCUUGGCUGGGAGAACUCUCCGACAGACUUUUUACAGACUGAUAUUCAUCGACCGUUUGCACAGAAUGACUAAAAUGGCUUAGUCAUGCACAAUUUUUUCUUGUUUUCUUUUCCCCCACUCAGCAUAUUAGCAGCAAAGUGUGUUGUCCGUGCAUUGCCGUGUGGUAGUUCCCACUCCCCGUCCGAGAAAUGUCCAAGUCUUAGAGUAGCUUUUCUUUGUGAAUGAAUCUAGAGCACUGAAAAGUGAAACGCAGCACUCUGCUUUGGUAACAGAAGUACGUUGCUAUUCCCAAACAGUCUUCCAGGUUUUUUCCCGUACGUUCGGGGGAGGCAACAUCGAAAACACAGUCCCGACAGACCAAAGCCCAACUGUGACCAAAUAUAAUGUACGAAAGCUAAAAUGGCACAAAAUAACUUUAGAUGUUCCCUGUCAGAUCUGAACUUUUCGUCCCUUUAAAUACGAACGGAUUGGCAUGUUCUGCCAGGGGUGCUGUCUCUAAUUCCCAAAAAACCCUCAAAUUGAGGACUUUUCCCAUGGUAAUCCUCUCUGAUUAUAGAGGUUUAUUUAUUUUGUGAUUUAGUAUAGCUAAUGCUGCCAUAGAUUAAAUACCUGCACAUGUGAGUGCUUGGACCAAUAACUAGCGUUUUGUCUUCAUGGAAAGAGGGUAUAAAGGUCAGGGAAAUGUCGAGACAUUCUUAAAAUCUCCCUUUCUAAAAAAAAAUCGUCUAUGUACGACUUGUCUAAAACUGCCUUCAGAGUUUCCCUCCAUCUCUGUCUCGUAUUCUCUCCUAUUGGCUUGACUGCGUUCUUCCUUCUUAACUAAUCAGAGGGAGCGCAGGAGGUCACGCCAAAUGAAUCAAGAAGAAUAAAUGUACAAAAAAAACGAACAAAUUUAUAUUUUGAUAAGUAACAUCUCCAUGGUUCACGAGGAACGCGAUUCGCUGCCACUGAUGUCCAAAUGCGACUGUAAAAAUGCAAUGCCGACCACCCCACGAACAGCCGCGGCGACUUACACAAAUAAGAAAAGAGAAAAAAGGACAAAAGAAAAGAAUAUUAACGCGCUCUUUUGGAGGGAGAUAUGAUUCAUCAAAGAGGUUGUUUCCUCAUAGACUGAACUGUGAGAAAAUGGAUGUCAAAAUAUAUGAAAAAAGAAAAACAAAUGAAAAAAAAAAACUACUUGGAGAGAAAAAAAAAUUAAUAAAAAAAAUGCAUUUUUGUAACUUUGUUUACCAGCAUGAGACUUUGCAUGACUGUAUUUUCUGCUAGCCCUUAGUUGAAGUGGGGAGGGCUAAAAAAAAUAAUUAAAAAAGAUAUUAAUAAUAAAGAUGUUAAUAAAAAUAAAAAACAUGAUAUGCAAUGGAUAUUUAAGAAAAACAAUAUAUUUAAAAGAGCUAUAUUUUGUUUUGAAAUAGAAAGAAAAUGUGAAUAAAUUCUGACUGCGAGUUACACACUGAACUGUUUUAUUAGUUUAAGAUUUAAAAAAAAAAAUCUCAAUGCCACCAAAAUCUGUUCUGCUACAUACUGCCCCAUGUAACAUUCUUGUUCGGUUUCAUUUCUUUCAUCGAAAUGCCGCCUGGACUGUAUAUUUUGGUUGCGUAUCUCUCUUUCUGUAUGCCGAAGGGGUCGUCUAUCUAUCAAAGUGUUUGGCUAAUGUUUGUCUGCGUACAACAUUAGUUUUCUCUGUAGCCAUGAUAACAACUGUGCUGAUGCUAGAAUCCUGUGUAAGCGGGAUAUGGCGUCUUUUCCCACAUGCAUUGGGGCUGAUAGUGUUUCAUUCUCCGUUUGAGUUCACCUGCUCUCAUUGGCAAUAAUAUGAAUGAUAAUCUGAUGGAGAUGUAGCAAGGCAAAGUGGAGGCUCGUAUCAGUCUCAGCGUCUUCCUUACAAAUGGAUGCAGUGUGGGAAACUGUGUUUUUGUAGAGGCGUUGUGUCUCUAAUCUCAGGUGAAAACCGUGAAUGCUCAGUCCCGCACCAGACCUCUGCCUGCCCGUGCAGCCAUUUUUCAUUUUCAUCUCGUCUGAUUGUUAUAAAGAUCCCUCGAAAGGCAUUUUACCGUCAUUUGUUGAUGUAUUUCCUGUUAAAACAGGAAGUUAGGGCACCGGGCUCAUCCCUUUAUAUACAUAGCCAAUUGUCUUUAGCCUUUAGCUUAGCAAAACAACAGCUGACAGCUUGUACAAUGAACUAAAUCAAUGAAAACACUUUUAAAAUGAAUAAAGAGAACCAUUUUAAAUGUCAUUCUGUAAUAUUGGCUACAGAAUUAAAAUUUCUAAGUCUAAAAAUGCUAAUUUGGUGUUUUAAAAUGUUCAGUUGUUUUUUGGUUCCCAGAAUGACACCAGGCUAAAGUUAAACCUUUAGCAUUUAGCUUUAGGCUAAUGCAAAACAUCACAGUUGAGUUGUAAUAUAGGCUACAGAAUUAAAAUUGCUAACUCUAAUCAUGCUAAUUUGGUGUGCUAAAAUGUUAAGUUUUACCCAACUCGUUUAUCUAAAAGUUUUAUAUAUCUCAGGACAUCAGGCUAAAGCUAAACGUUUAGCUUUAGGCUAAGGCAAAGUUGAAUUAAAUGUGGCAAGUUGAGUUAAAUGUGUUUAGGCCUGUUUGUUAUUUUGUAAUAGACACCAUAAUUAAAAUUGCUAACUCUAAUUAUGCUAAUUUGGUGUCCUAAAAUGCUAAAUUUUUCCCAAUAUAAUCUCAGGACACCAGGUUAAAGUUAAACCUUUAGCAUUUAGCUUUAGGCUAAAGCAAAACAUCAGAGUUGCGUUAAAUGUGUUUAAGCUUAUUUGUUAUUUUGUAAUAGACUUCAUAAUUAAAAUCGCUAACUCUAAUCAUGCUAAUUGGUGUCCUAGCAUGCUAAGUUUUACACAAUAGGAGUUUUUAUGUAUCUCGGGACACCAGGCUAAAGUUGAGUUGCGUUUUUGCUUCAGAUCUGGGCCUCAGUCAGUAGCAUCUUUAACAUUGUAGCACUGCAGCUAAUCUGUUAGCAUUUAACACAAGGGCAUUUACAAACUUGUUCAUAUAAUUCAAGAUUGCACAAAAAGUAAGUCAAGAUGUUAUUUAAUCUUAGAGACACUUGAGCCACAUGUGAAACAAGUGAGUCAAGGUUUAUACUGUCAUACAACGGUCAUUGCAGAUGUUUUAAUCAAUACGCUACAUAGGAUGACAGAGCAGAUAGAAGAUAAAAUAUGGAUGCUCGUAGCCAGUUACCCUUGACAAAGGUGCUUGACUUUGACAAGUGUGUUAUUGUAGAUGAAAAGCCUCUGCUAAUUACCAAGUGGACAGAAAAGACAGAAUGAAAUGAAUAUGAGAGAUUGCGAAGGUUCAAGCAGGCAGCGGUCCGGUGUCUGGUGUGAGGGACGGUUUGUGAUAUUUCGAGUGUGCUGAUAUCAUCAGCUUCUGAUAUAUGGAAUGCAGAUGGUGGAAGUGGAAAUACGACCUUCAGGAGAAAGACAAUAUGACACAGCUUAUAUUUUCGAAACCUUACUAAGCGAAAACGAGAUGUCUCCGGACUGGGUCACUGGGUCCGUUCCCAGCCCAGAAAGAAACCUUAUAGCCCAAAUAGGUCUUUGUUUUUUCAAAGUUGUGCAUAUUUAUAGUUUUAUAAAUGCUUUUGUUUAUAAUUAUCAAUUUAUUGAAUAAUUUAUAUUUUAUACAGAGUUUUUGUUCUGAGAUCAUCUCUUUGUUCCAUUUCAAAGAUUGUUCAUAUUUUUUAUGACCACUUUGUUGUUCACUUAUAUAUAUAUAAAUAUAAAAGAGCCUGUGUUUGGUUUUAUUUUAGAAGGCAUUAAGACCACUUUGGUCCAGGGGUCACAAAGUAACGCAGAAUAAAUAUUUUAAAGCAUGCUUCCAGCAAGAACACAACGACGCAUAUCCACACUGGCAAACGCCAGUUUGAUUUUGUUUUAUUCCCAAACAUGUUCUUUUUUUCUUUUCAGGACAAGUCGAGCUUGUCUCUCCAUCUUUGCACAUUGAAGCACACUGCCCUGUUAAAAUGAUUUGGAAUGAUAGAUCUGUCUGCAUCUAAUUCUUCUUGUUCGAUUUUUACUGUGCCUGCUCUUGUAUCCAAUGUCAGUUUGAUCACCCGUUUCUUGUGUAUUAAGUUUGAUUUGAUGUACUUGAAUUACAGAUAUGCAAUCACCACCUCUCUGACCACUGCCAAUCAUCCCGAUCAAUCAACAUGAUCAGUAAUCAAUAUGAUUAAAGUGAUUAACAACC